GGGAGCAUGGUCUAGGGGUAUAACAUCUCAUUUGCAAUGCUAGUGGCGGCAUGGAAAUUUGAGAAGGUCUGGGGUUCGAUUCCCCAUGCUUCCA